CCUACGGGAGGCAGCAGUCGAGAAUUAUUCACAAUGGGGGAAACCCUGAUGGUGCGACGCCGCGUGGGGGAAUGAAGGUCUUCGGAUUGUAAACCCCUGUCAUGUGGGAGCAAAUUAAAAAGAUCGUACCACAAGAGGAAGAGACGGCUAACUCUGUGCCAGCAGCCGCGGUAAUACAGAGGUCUCAAGCGUUGUUCGGAAUCACUGGGCGUAAGGCGUGCGUAGGCUGUUUCGUAAGUCGUGUGUGAAAGGCGCGGGCUCAACCCGCGGACGGCACAUGAUACUGCGAGACUAGAGUAAUGGAGGGGGAACCGGAAUUCUCGGUGUAGCAGUGAAAUGCGUAGAUAUCGAGAGGAACACUCGUGCCGAAGGCGGGUUCCUGGACAUUAACUGACGCUGAGGCACGAAGGCCAGGGGAGCGAAAGGGAUUAGAUACCCUUGUAGUC
rnacentral:rRNA from 1 species